CUGCGGAAGGAUCAUUAU
rnacentral:ncRNA from 3 species